AAUAGGGGGCGGGGCAACGAGGGGGCGGGGCUUUAUAAGGGGGCGGGGCUUAAUGUGGGCGACGGGCGGGGCUGAUAAGGGGGCGGAGCUUAUGGGGGCGGAGCUUAAUAAAGGGGCGGGGCUUAACAGGGGGUGGCUCAAUACGGGCGGGGCUUAACAAGGGGGCGGGGCCUAUAAUGGGUGGGGCUUGAUAAGGGGUUGAGCAUAAAGGGGCGGGGCUUAAUAAAGGGGCGGGGCUUAAUAUGGGCGGGGAUUAAUAAAGGGGCGGGGCUUAACAAGGGGCGGGGCUUAAUAGGGGGCGGGGCCUAUGAUGGGUGGGUAUUAACAAGGGGGCGGGGCUUAAUAAAGGGCGGGGCUUAUAAUGGGUGGAGCUCGAUAAGGGGGCGGGGCUUAAUGAGUGGGCGGGGCUUAAUGAGGGGGCGGGGCUUAAUAUGGGCGGGGUUCGAUAAAGGGGCGGAGCUUUAUGUGGGCGGAGCUUAAUGUGGGCGGGGCUUAAGAAGGGGGCGUGGCUUAAUAUGGGCGGGGCUUAAUGGGGGGCUUAAUAAGGGGCGGGGCCGAAUAAGGGGCGGGGCUUAAUAAGGGGGCGGGGCUUAAUAACCCCUAUAGGAUCCACAAGGGCUUCAUUAUUGGGACCCCCAUUUUUGGGUUGAAAACCCCCAUUUUUGGGUUGAAACCCCCAUUUUUGGGCUGAAAACCCCCCAUUUUUGGAUCCAAACCCCCCAUUUUGGGGUCCAAACCCCCCAUUUUUGGGUUCAAACCCCCAUUUUUGGGCUGAAAACACCCAUUUUUGGGUCAAAACCCCCCAUUUUGGGGCUGAAAACCCCCAUUUUUAGGUCCAAACUCCCCAUUUUUGGGUCGAAACCCCCCAUUUUUGCAUUGAAACCCCCCAUUUUUGGGCCGAAAACCCCCAUUUUGGGGUCCAAACCCCCCAUUUUUGGGCUGAAAACCCCCAUUUUGAGCUUCAAAUCCCCCAUUUUUGGGUUCAAACCUCCCAUUUUUGGAUCCAAACUCCCCAUUUUUGGGUUCAAACCCCCAUUUUUGGGCUGAAAACACCCAUUUUUGGGUCAAAACCCCCCAUUUUGGGGCUGAGAACCCCCAUUUUUGGGUCCAAAGUCCCCAUUUUUGCAUUGAAAUACCCCAUUUUUGCUUUGAAACCCCCCAUUUUUGGGUCCAAACACCCCAUUUUUGGGUCAAAACUCCCCAUUUUUGGGCUGAAACCCCCCAUUUUUGGGUUGAAACCCCCCAUUUUUAGGUCGAAACCCCCCAUUUUUGGGAUGAAUCCCCCAUUUUUGGGCUGAAAACCCCCAUUUUUGGGUUGAAACUCCCCAUUUUUGGGCUGAAACCCCCCAUUUUUGGGUCCAAACUCCCCAUUUUUGGGCUGAAAACACCCAUUUUUAAGUCCAAACCCCCAUUUUUGGGUUCAAACUCCCCAUUUUUGGGUCCAAACCCCCCAUUUUUGGGCUGAAACCCCCCAUUUUUGGGUUCAAACUCCCCAUUUUUGGGCUGAAAACCCCCAUUUUUGGGUCCAAACCCCCCAUUUCUGCAUUGAAACCCCCCAUUUUUAAGUCCAAACCCCCAUUUUUGGGUUCAAACCCCCAUUUUUGGGUUAAAAACCCCCAUUUUUGGGUCCAAACCCCCAUUUCUGCAUUGAAACCCCCAUUUUUGGGCUGAAAUCCCCCAUUUUGGGGUCCAACCCCCCCAUUUUUGCAUUGAAACUCCCCAUUUUUAAGUCCAAACCCCCAUUUUUGGGUCGAAACCCCCCAUUUCUGCAUUGAAACCCCUCAUUUUUGGGCUGAAAACCCCCAUUUUUAGGUCCAAACUCCCCAUUUUUGGGCUGUAAACGCCCAUUUUGAGCUUCAAAUCCCCCAUUUUUGGAUCCAAACUCCCCAUUUUUGGGUUCAAACCCCCCAUUUUUUGCAUUGAAGACCCAUUGUUUGGCUGAAAACGCCCCAAUUUUGGUGUUGAAGAACCCCAUUUCUUUGGGCUGAAACACCCCAUUUUUGAUUCCAAA
rnacentral:lncRNA from 1 species